CCCCUAGAUGUUCUGGGCCGCACGCGCGCUACACUGAACAGUUCAACAAGUCUUAACCUUGGCCGAUAGGUCUGGGUAAUCUUUGAACGCUGUUCGUGAUUGGGAUAGACCUUUGCAAUUAUGGGUCUUCAACGAGGAAUUCCUAGUAAACGCAAGUCAUCAGCUUGCAUUGAUUACGUCCCUGCCCUUUGUACACACCGCCCGUCGCACCCACCGAUUGAAUGGUCCGGUGAAAUCUCGGGACGGCGGCUUGGUCGCUUGCGUCCGACUGCUGAAACUUGAUUAAACCAUAUCAUUUAGAGGAAGGUGAANUCGUANCA
rnacentral:rRNA from 1 species